rnacentral:rRNA from 1 species
CGUGAGUCUUUAACGGGCCUCGCUGUUUGCAAUGUUUGUGCUUUUUGGGUGUACUUUUUCGUAUGGUAGGCCAACGUCAGUUUCGAUUACCAUAAAAUGAUCGGAGGAAUGUAGCUUCGAUCUCGUAUUGAAGUGUUAUAGCCUCUGGUAGAUGCGGUGACCGAAACUGAGGAUUGCAACGAAUACCCUUUGGGCUAUCCGUCUGACCUCUGAAAGUUGCUUAGGUGCCGAAAGCUUGCUUACGGUCAUUUAAGUUGACGGUCAAAAGGUUAGAACGUGAUUACA